rnacentral:rRNA from 1 species
GAUAAUUGAGAGUUAAGCUGUGAAACUAGUACUCGACUGUUCACCCAAGUUAAGCAGCAUCGAGCCUAGUUAGUACUUAGAUGGGUGACCGUUUGAGAAACCUAGGUGCUGUAAGCA